UACGUAGGGUGCGAGCGUUGUCCGGAAUUAUUGGGCGUAAAGAGCUUGUAGGCGGUCUGUCGCGUCUGCUGUGAAAUCCGGGGCUCAACCCCGGACUUGCAGUGGGUACGGGCAGACUAGAGUGUGGUAGGGGAGACUGGAAUUCCUGGUGUAGCGGUGAAAAUGCGCAGAUAUCAGGAGGAACACCGGUGGCGAAGGCGGGUCUCUGGGCCGAUACUGACGCUGAGGAGCGAAAGCGUGGGGAGCGAACAGG
rnacentral:rRNA from 1 species